UUUGCUUUGAAUGGCUUCUAGAACUGCAUUUCUGUUCUUGUAGAGACUAGCGGUGACAGUGUUGGGAUCCCAAGAGGACUUCACAGUCCAAGAUUCCUGUUUUGAGUUCUCUCCAGCUUUAUUCCGGAUUUGGACAAAGACAGAUUGUCCUUCUGCAAAGAACUGACUUCAAAAUAACCUCCCUGUAUGGGACAGCCCCAUCAUUUCUGCACAGUGACUGAGAGCUCACUUCACUGGCUGGCCACCUAAGAACUCCGCAGAGUCCCUGCUUAGGCUGCCUUCAGGACAGGACAGAAGACUGAUGACCUCAUGAAAAACCCAGCGAGGAGGUGACCAAGGUGCUGUCACUGGGCCUUCUGAAUCUAAGGUCCCCGCCUUUGAAAAACAGACGCUCACUCCCUCUGCCUCAUUUGCCACACUCUGACCCUCAUGUUGCCCAACAGAACCCAUCAAAAACUAGCUGGUCAUCUAUUGUCAAUUCCUCCUCAGGUUGAAGAAACUUACGCUGAACGAGAUUACAACCUGCCACUGAUAGCACUCGUCCACUACUUCCUGGAGAAUAUGUCCACUGAAAAAGACAGCAGCUGGAGGACUCCUGCUCCCCUCCUGGGAAAUGACCUUUUCUGGUACUGCUCACCAGUCCCCGCACAGCUAAGUCUGAGAAGCUCCGUCCCACCUGCAAGGAGUUGCAGGACCUGAGUGGACAGCAGAGCCAUCUGCAGUCUCACCCUCGGGCUCUCCGGCAGCAGAAGCAGAUGAUGUGGACAGCGGUCCCCAGACGCCGGGCCGGGCCUGCGUAAUCUAACUUGAUUUCUACCACUGUUCUCCUUUACUAUGAAAUUCAUGAGGGAGGGGGGUUAUUAACACAUUAUUGACCAGAGAUGUAUCAAUACAUUUUUAGAGGGUGACACAAUAUUACUGUGAGAAAUUGUUACAGCUUAAAAUUGAUCAAGGGUUCAUUAUACAACUUGUGAUUGUCAUUAUCACAUUUUGCUCUGUUAGGUUUCUGUUCCAACCUUGUGUGUAUUAUAAGCGUAACAUUUUCAAAAAUGACACAUUGUGAAAUUUUGAGUGAAGAAUUUCAGAAUUUCAUAAAAUUCAGUGAGGAAUUUUAUGCAAGUAUUUCCUCUGAUUGUCCAAGUGACAUAUAUACUAGUGUCUUGGAAGAUGGUAGUUCUUCAGAAUAUAGUUCUGAUUCAGAGACAUUUAAUUAGACCAACAAGGAGACAAAAAACCUCAGUGAGUGAUUCUGAUAAAGAAAGUGGACAUGAAACUCACACAGUGCUGGAGAAUGCGCCUUUGCUCCUACAGACGAGUGGAUGGAAGACAACACUUCAUGAAAAUGAGAGCACUUUACAGAAGGGAGAUUCAUGGAAAGUAACCUACCACGAGCUCUUGAUGGCCACAUGGCUGCCCAAUCACAAGGAUUAAACCUUGGGUAGAGACGUCACAACGGAUGAAGGCUCCACCUACCUUCUGGUCCCUCCUGCACAAAAGCUGGCAAUCUCAAACCAAACUGACUAGGGAGAGAAGUGGCCACCGCAGAGAUCCCUCCUCCCCUGGCCAAGAGCUGAAGCAAAGGAGGCCAUGAUCUGCAGUCUCUCCUUACCUCUUGAAGAUACUGCAGACCCUGCUGGUAAAGCAACAGCUGCCCAAUAAAAACAUCCCUAGACUGACCAGAGUUGUUCCUGAUGAGACAAGCCUCUGACAGCCUCUAGCCGAGCAAGGAGGUGUCUGAGCUGUGACCCACACCCCUGCACCUGGAUCAACACUUCGGGGGAAGGUGAGACUCAGCCACAGAAGAUUACUGAACAAGCCCAGCACUUUCUUAGGCCAGCAGCCCAACCAACACAGUCUGUCUUUGGGGGUCAUUCUGUUUACAAGAUUAGUUACCAGAGGGUGCUGUGUUCUCUCAAAAGCUUUAAAUACAGCUUUGCAGCCACAGGCAACCAAGCACAUGCUCUCCCUCAAACAGAACAUCAGAAAAGGAACAGAAUGACUGACUGACAGAAUGUCAGUGAACCCUAUGUCAUGGCCUGUGAAGACCACACAGAGAUUCAAUGAAAAGCCGGUAAGAACUCCAGAGCCAUAGCUGGGGGUAGCCCUGCUGCCUUACAUUUGGAUCACUGAUGAAAAGGGGGGAACUGUUAAAAACAACAGACCCAAAAUGCAGUUGUAUAGGCUAAGCUCCACGUCAUCAAACUGAGACUUGACUUUACAGUUUCAGCUCCCCCAGGAAUGGAAUCCCCCAAUCUGCACGAUGAGGACAUCACCUGCCAGACGCCUGCCGUCCGCUAAAGGAAAGCAGCUGGGCCGUCUCCACCUGCCUCUUCAGCUGGUGUAACUGCCUGUGCCUGCCUGCUGCCUCCUGCCUGCACGUCCCUGCUUUUGUGCAGCAUCUCGGAGCUCCUUGCUUUCUGCUGGACUGGAAGCUCCUUGAGUCACAAAUCACUGAAAUAAAGCCAGUAGGAUCUUUCAGAUUUA